UUGAAGAGAAACAUUACCAAAUAUGUCUUUUCUCCUGCCCAUAUCUUCUGUUUCCACAGGAAAAGGACGCAGGCACAGGCAGCCCAAUGGAAACACAGGAACAUCCACCGUCACUGGGGGAGGAAGGCAAGUCCUGCCUGCAGCCCUGCUCAGAGAGGAAGCAGCUGAAAGUCAACGUCUUAAACAUCAGUAAAGGGGAUGCUGACAACUUGACUUUUCUGCCAGAUUCUGCAGCUCUCUGCUUCCUGAAAAACAAUAAAGACUUGGAUUACUCAACAGGAAACCGUAUUUUUUUCAGAAGAAUUUAUUAUUUCAACCAUUCUCUUACACUUAUUCUUCUGGAAAACUCAACAGAGGAGCAGUUUUCUCCCAAGAAGGCUGCAAGAGUUCGUUCAUCUGUUCCUGAUGAAGAAUCUGUUCCUGAUGAAGAGAUUCUCUUCUGCAGUUCCACAGCACUUAUUUUUGUGUUCAGACUGAGCUUCCUCAAGAUGAGAACAAAUAAAUAGAAUGGCUCAGUCCUUCCUACAGUGUCUCUGAAGCAAAGCUGGCUCGAGGUACUGCUCUGCCUCUUCUCUCUCCAAGGAUCUGGGAUAUGGGAAGGAAGGAAGGAAGGAGGGCUGAGCCUUCAGCGCACAUCACCCUGCUCAAGGAGAAAAGAUACCGCAUUUAACGCUCAAGUGUUCGGAUGCCAAAUGUUCUGCAAGGGACUCACACAACUGCUGGACAGCAAAAUAAAGAAAGCCUUACUUGGUCUGUCA
rnacentral:lncRNA from 1 species